AUUGAACGCUGGCGGCAUGCCUAACACAUGCAAGUCGAGCGUGCGGCGGACGGGUGAGUAAUGUAUGGGGAUCUGCCCGAUAGAGGGGGAUAACUACGGGAAACCUUGGCUAAUACCGCAUACUAUCCUAUGAACCCAUCUGGGAUUAGCUAGUAGGUGGGGUAAAGGCUCACCAAGGCGACGAGCUCUAGCUGGUCUGAGAGGAUGAUCAGCCACACUGUGACUGAGACACGGCCCAGAAUCCUACGGGAGGCAGCAGUGGGGAAUAUUGCACAAUGGGCGAAAGCCUGAUGCAGCCAUGCCGCGUGUAUGAAGAAGGCCUUAGGGUUGUAAAGUACUUUAAGCGGAGAGGCGUUACCUGCCGAGAAAGCACCGGCUAACUCCGUGCCAGCAGCCGCGGUAAUUC
rnacentral:rRNA from 1 species